UCAGGAUGAACGCUAGCUACAGGCUUAACACAUGCAAGUCGAGGGGCAGCAUAACGAAAGCUUGCUUUGUUGAUGGCGACCGGCGCACGGGUGAGUAACGCGUAUCCAACCUUCCCUAUAGUAGAGAAUAGCCCGGCGAAAGUCGGAUUAAUGCUCUAUGUUCUUCUUUGAUGGCAUCUGACGAGAAGCAAAGGUUCACCGCUAUAGGAUGGGGAUGCGUCUGAUUAGGUAGUCGGCGGGGUAACGGCCCACCGAGCCAUCGAUCAGUAGGGGUUCUGAGAGGAAGGUCCCCCACAUUGGUACUGAGACACGGACCAAACUCCUACGGGAGGCAGCAGUGAGGAAUAUUGGUCAAUGGGCGAGAGCCUGAACCAGCCAAAGUAGCGUGCAGGAUGACUGCCCUAUGGGUUGUAAACUGCUUUUAUACGGGAAUAAAGUGCGGGACGUGUCCCGUUUUGUAUGUACCGUAAGAAUAAGGACCGGCUAAUUCCGUGCCAGCCGCCGC
rnacentral:rRNA from 1 species